rnacentral:rRNA from 1 species
GACGAAGGAUGCAAGCGUUAUCCGGAUUCAUUGGGUUUAAAGGGAGCGUAGGUGGUCUUAUAAGUCAGUGGUGAAAUCCUGUCGCUUAACGAUAGAAUUGCCAUUGAUACUGUAGGACUUGAGUACAGUUUGCCGUUGGCGGAAUAUGACAUGUAGUGGUGAAAUACAUAGAUAUGUCAUAGAACACCGAUUGCGAAAGGCAGCUGACGAAACUGUAACUGACACUGAGGCUCGAAAA